rnacentral:rRNA from 1 species
GAUGAACGCUAGCGAUAGGCUUAACACAUGCAAGUCGAGGGGCAUCGAGGGUAGCAAUACCUGUCGGCGACCGGCGCACGGGUGAGUAACGCGUAUGUAACCUGCCCGCAACAGAGGGAUAACCCGGCGAAAGUCGGACUAAUACCUCAUAAAACAGGGGUUCCGCAUGGGACUAUUUGUUAAAGAUUUAUUGGUUGCGGAUGGGCAUGCGUACCAUUAGGUAGUUGGUGAGGUAACGGCUCACCAAGCCAUCGAUGGUUAGGGGUUCUGAGAGGAAGGUCCCCCACACUGGUACUGAGACACGGACCAGACUCCUACGGGAGGCAGCAGUGAGGAAUAUUGGUCAAUGGGCGAGAGCCUGAACCAGCCAAGUCGCGUGAAAGGAUGACUGCCCUAUGGGUUGUAAACUUCUUUUACCAGGGGAAUAAAA